UACGAAGGGGGCUAGCGUUGCUCGGAAUUACUGGGCGUAAAGGGAGCGUAGGCGGACAGUUUAGUCAGAGGUGAAAGCCCAGGGCUCAACCCUGGAAUUGCCUUUGAUACUGGCUGUCUUGAGUACGGGAGAGGUGUGUGGAACUCCGAGUGUAGAGGUGAAAUUCGUAGAUAUUCGGAAGAACACCAGCGGCGAAGGCGACACACUGGCCCGUUACUGACGCUGAGGCUCGAAAGCGUGGGGAGCAAACAGG
rnacentral:rRNA from 1 species